AAAAGUCGUUACAAGGUUUCCGUAGGUGAACCUGCGGAAGGAUCAUUA
rnacentral:rRNA from 1 species